CUGGUUCCACUGGAAACUGAAGACCUCUGAUGUGCUUAUCCAUAGAUCAGUUUCAUACAAUCAGCUGUGCAUAUUCUCCCAUAAUGUCAUGCCAGUGUGUCUCAGCCUUGCCCUGGAAGAGCCAGUUCUAAGGAGGAAAAGGUAAUUCAUUCUCCACUGCACAUUCAUUGCUUGGCCUCU
rnacentral:sRNA from 1 species